rnacentral:lncRNA from 1 species
UUUUUUUUUUUUUUUUUUUUUUUUUUUUUUAUGCAGAAAUUACUUUUAUUAUGUUAGAAUAUUCCUUAAUGGGUUGGCAAUUAUUCAUGUGAAGGAGAGUUCAGAAAACAGAUUUAUGACUGUAUUAGCCUUGUCCUUGAUUAGAGAUUUAUGAAUUAUACAAAAAAUAUUAUUCCCUAGAGAAGGUUACUCUAAAAGUAGUAGUAGAAAAGGUCUAAGAGACUGUGAACUUAGAAGAGCUACUUGUCUGGCUGUUCCAGGUGGACCACAAGACUUCAGUACAAGGAUGGAAAUGUGUUCUCUGUUGAAUUUAAAGCUUUACAACAGUCCGAAUGCUCUUUCCUGCAUGCAACAGGUCAAAGGCUUCAUUAAUUUGGUCAAAAGACAGACUGUGAGUCACAAAUUCAUCAACUUUUAUCUUUCUGGACAUAUAUUCAGACACCAACUUUGGGACACUUUCCACACUCUUCCAUCCUCCAAAGGCAGUGCCUUUCCAUACACGCCCUGUUACCAGCUGAAAUGGACGAGUGGCGAUUUCUUCACCUGAAGCAGCUACUCCAACUAUGACGCUGACACCCCAGCCUUUGUGGCAGGCCUCUAGCGCAGCUCUCAUGACUUUCACGUUACCAAUACACUCAAAGGAAUAGUCCACUCCCCCGUCAGUCAUUUCAAUGAGCACUUCCUGGAUGGGUUUACUAAAGUCCUGGGGGUUAAUACAUUCAGAGGCUCCAAACUCCUUGGCCCUUGAGAAUUUAUCUUUAUUGAUGUCCACACCAAUGAUCCGGGAUGCACCAGCCACUUUACAGCCCAUGAUAGUCGCCAAUCCAACUCCUCCUAGGCCAAAGACGGCACAAGUAGAGCCAGGCUCCACCUUGGCAGUGUUCAGAGCAGCACCAUAACCAGUUGAAAUGCCACAACCGAGAAGGCAGACUUUAUCCAAAGGUGCUAAAGGAUCAAUUUUAGCAACAGAGAUAUCAGCCACAACUGUAUAUUCAGAAAAUGUGCUGGUUCCCAUAUAAUGUAAAAUUGUCUUUCCUUUGCAAGUAAAUCUGCUAGUACCAUCUGGCAUUAAUCCUUUCCCCUGUGUAACUCUUAUCUUCUGGCAAAGGUUUGUUUUAGGAUUUAGACAAAAUUUGCAUUCUCCACACUGUGGGAUGUAAAGUGGGAUGACAGUGUCACCUGCUUUCAGCUUAGUAACUCCUUCGCCAACACUUUCCACAAUUCCAGCACCUUCAUGUCCCAGGAUCACUGGAAAACUUCCUUCAGGAUCAGCCCCACUCAGGGUGUAGGCAUCGGUGUGGCAAACUGCAGUGGCAAUAAUCUUAAUUCGAACUUCAUGAGCCUUUGGGGGUGCCACCUCUACCUCUUCUAUAGAGAGAGGCUUUCCUGCCUCCCAGGCAACUGCAGCCUUACACUUGAUAACCUGGUUCGCCAUGUCCUCUGCUCCGGGUCAGUGAGGGGC